rnacentral:lncRNA from 11 species
UAUUUUGUUUAACAAAUUUAUUAUUUGCAGGACUUGCCAGAUAUAGCAGUGAAGUCAUCCCAAUUCAAAGAAGGCAUGGCAUUAAGCUCAUAACAUCUGGCACAGGAAUACACGAUAGCAAAUAUUUGUCAGUCUCAAACGAAGAGUGAUGAUCCCCUUGAGAGUUGGAAUGAUGUUGCUGCCUCAGUGGGGUGAUUGAAGUCCUUGCUUGGACAAACUGGAGAUCGUAACUCUUUGGGAACAAGCUUCCUUCUUGGAGAACAUGGUAUUGUUGGACAAGUGGUGGGAACACAAAACAACUCUAUCCCAUUGGCCAGUAGCAAGUCUGUAACUGGAUACUGUCAUGUGCCCAGGAAAGAAGAAGCAGUGUUUCAAAGAAAGUUACAGGAGUUUUCUUCUAUUCACAAGAGGCUCUGCAGAUAAUCUAGAAAGAAUUUCCAAGUCCUCCAGUGUAAUUCUGUGGUCAACUUCUGACGACCAGGAGAUCUCACAGAGCCUUACAACCAUCUGGGAGUAGAAUUGACACCAAUAUGACUGCAAUUAAUAGUCAUUUCCCUGUGUUGCCAUACCAAGGCUUGUAAAUAUAUAUUUAUCAUCUAUCACUAAAGCAUAAAUAUGGACUGUACAGACAACAGCAUUGAGAAAAUAUGGUCAGCCUAUGCCUAGUUUACAUUGACAUUCUAUACAUUCCCCUUCUUCUUUUUCUGCCCUUGUUUUGCAUUUCUAUAUAAAAGUUCUAACUGUGUAUCUAUUGUAUCUUUUAUUAUCAGUCUAUGAAUACACACACACAUGCAGAAACACUUGCAGAGUCAACAGGAAGUAUAAAUGAUGUUCUACUUGCACUUUUUAUGUUCAGUGUUUUUAUACUUGUCAACAUCUAUAAUUUCCCAUCUUUCUUUCUUUUUUAAAAAUACCCUUCAAGCUUCACCUUCUUAAUAGUUACUUAACUUCCACUUUGCACAAUUUAAGAAUGAAAUUGAUUUCAGAAAUUUUUUUAUGCUGACCAGUUUUCCAGGCUAUCAUGUCAGUGAAUAAACAGCAGGAGAUUAAAAACAAUGGCAGUGAAGAAAUUUGGAAAAAGAUGAAUGUGUUCAUUAAGUAAAUCGAUAAGUUAUUUUAUACUACUUCAUCAGUCAAAAUAUGGCAUCUUUCUGAUUGAAGGCCUGGCUUGGUGGGACCUAAGUAAAGCAGAAGUGGAUGGGUUCUCAAGCUGCUUAGAUAACCAAUAAUCUAAUGUAGAGAUGGGCAAACUAAAACUCUUUGUAUUUUGGACUACAGUGCAUUUAAUCCCUGAGUGUUGAUCAUGUUGGAUGAUUUAGAUGCCAUCUGGUCCUAACACAUGCUUGUUAUGUGGGACUCUAUUACAAAAGCGGUAUAUACCAAAGUGAGCAAGUUGGAUUUUCCAGAAAGAAAUAAACAGUCCCUUUAGAUUUGCAUGGAAAGACACUAUGGGGGUGGACAAAGGAGAAAAUAAUAGUGGUAUGUCACAAUCGCAUCUAGCUGAAAUCAAUCUUACACAAGUGUUUGGUAUUGUCUUUUGAAAUGGCUGUAUUGUAAGAGAACCCACCCAUGAACAUCUCCCUACAGAGGUAAUUAAUACCUACUUGAAUGCAAUUUUAAAUCUUAGUUGAUGAAUAAGCA